rnacentral:lncRNA from 1 species
AUUUUUACAUGUAUUAUAUUUUUCUUUUAGUUUACUCAUAUUUUUAUUUAUUUAUUAUCUUAUAUUUACCCUAGUAUGAUUUUUUUUAUUAAACGUAUACUCAUGUUAUUUAAUUUUGUCUUAAUGAUAUUAUUUAUGUUUGUAUAAAAAAGUUAGAAUAUUUUAUACAUCUAUACUUCAUGAUGCAUUAAUAUGUCAUCAUGAUGCAUUAAUAUGUCAUCAUGAUGCAUUAAUAUGUCAUCCUAAAACGUUAUUUAAAAUAAUACUCCAAGAAUUUUUUUUAAAAAAAUAAAAAACAAUGCUUGAUGUUUAAAAACUUCGAAAAAUAAUGCCCUAACAUGUUAAGUUACGAUUUCUCGUUUGUCUAAAUGCUUAAAGUAUCAUUCUAAAUAGAUUUUGUAAAUCACGAGAUAAUUUCAAUUACGAAAGUUUAAGAAUAUCAUGUCUUAACAUGUUGGAUGUAAUGUUUAUAUUCUUUUAGAGCUAAAAAAUUUCAAUUUUUUUAACUUAAAUAAUUCCAAUUUAAAAAAAAAUCUUAUUUUUUAAAUCCUUUCAAAUUUUUGACAUUAAGACAAAAAUCUAUUCAAUUUGGUACCAAUUUUUAGAGUUGCAAGAGUGCUAAUCCUUCGUAACCGACUCCCGAACCUAUUUUUCUUAAUUUUAAUAGACUACAACAUUUUAUAAAAUGAUCCAAUCACACCUAAAAAUAAAAUGAUCCAACCACACCUAAAAAGAUUGAUAACGACUCCCGUUUUCAUUUUUCAAAAAUCGAUUCGCGUUUUUCAAACAUCACUUUAAAAAAUAGUUUCGACCUCGAUGCUGUUUCAGUGUUGAAGAUAGCCUCCACGUCUUUCGUCACGGUCUUAUAUCAACAGAAGUGUGGCAAAAGUUACAGCUUUCCUGGGUAAUUAAUACUGCGAGUCAAAAUAUUUGGGAGUGGCUAACCUAGGUUUUCACGAGAGGGAAUGAUGAACAAUGCCAGCUUUUCUGCUAUGCUUUGUGGUUAAUCUGGUUUUCCAGAAAUCAAUUUAUUCAUGAGAGAAAGAGCACGACUGGCACAGAUCUAGCAAAAAGCGUACAGAGACAUAUGGAGGAAUACGAAGGAAUGCGAUCAAAAAAGAGUCAUGUUAAUACCAUCAAAAACCAAAGCGCACAGGAAGACUCACCAAGUUUGACGGUUAAGUUUGAUGCAGCUUUUAAUGGCAGAAAUUUCAAGUCAGCGACAGGUCUGGUAGCGUGGGGGAUUAGGGGUGAACUAUUGGCAUUAAAGUCGAACCUUCACAGCAACGUGUCCGCAUUUUCAGCAGAAGCAUAUGCAUGUUAUGAAGCCAUUAAGUUAGGGAUUUCCAUGGGUUUGCAAUCGGUUAAAAUCAUGGGGAUUCCAGAACAGUUGUUAAAAAGUGUAAAACAACAACAAAAGACAAAUCAGAGAUCGGAGCGAUUAUCAGAGAUAUUCAAAAUACAACAACCAGAUUUCAAGAGAUCCACUUCCAGUAUAUCCACAGAACAGAGAACUUGAGAGCUCAUAGAAUCGCAAAGAACACACUUGCAAGAGGAGAAAGAUCGUACCUGACGGGAGAAGAACUACAUGACCAGGCGUUCGGUUCGGCGGGGCGAUGGCCACGAUGCCCAGACUGAAGGACCUUUGAGACAAAUGAGACUCACAACCAGAUAGCAGAAAUGAUUUAUUUUUCUCUUUGGGAAUUGCUAUCAUCAGAACGGGUGGUUUUUGAAAUGAAAAUGCGAGUAGUUUUAAUGGGUGCCAGUAGUUUGAGUUGACCGGGGUGGAUGAGUAGGUUUCCUGUUUUCUUUUCAUUAUCAUUUAUUGCUUCUGUCGUUCUUAUCCAGUUAAUAGUUCUUUUCUUUUUUUAAUUCCUUUAGGAGGCCUCCACUAUUAAACUGUCCAGUAAGGCCGUUCUUCUUUUGUAUGUUCCUAGCCAGAGUAGGAUUGAGCCCAAUUGAUCUGUUUGGGCCUAUUUUAGUUUUCUUUUUCCAAAUAAAGUACCCGGCCAAUUUUAAUUUCAAAAAACAAAAAUU